AUACGGAGGAUCCGAGCGUUAUCCGGAUUUAUUGGGUUUAAAGGGUGCGCAGGCGGCCAUUUAAGUCAGCGGUUAAAUCGUGGGGCUCAACCCCAUUCUGCCGUUGAUACUGGGUGGCUUGAUUGCGGUCGAGGUUGGCGGAAUUCGUUGUGUAGCGGUGAAAUGCUUAGAUAUCACGAAGAACUCCGAUCGCGAAGGCAGCUCACAGGGCCGGAACUGACACUGAUGCUCGAAAGUGCGGGUAUCAAACAGGAUUAGAUACCCUGGUAGUCCGCACAGUAAACGAUGAAUACUCGCUGUUUGCGAUACACUGUAAGCGGCCAAGCGAAAGCGUUAAGUAUUCCACCUGGGGAGUACGCCGGCAACGGUGAAACUCAAAGGAAUUGACGGGG
rnacentral:rRNA from 1 species